rnacentral:lncRNA from 1 species
UCUUAAGUAAACAUCGCCAGUAGCCUGGAAAUGCUGCUCAUGUGCCUGUGGUGGUGCUAGCCAAGGGGGUAGACUCCUCUUCCUGUGGAAAGGGGAAGGAAGAGUGGGAAGGACUUUGUCUUGUGGUUUGGGUGCCAGCUCAGCUGUGGUAGAAUAGAACACCAGGACGAUUUCUAAAGUUUCUGACUCCAGUUCCUGACUGCUGGACAUCAUCUCUGGACCAGCCUGGGGCCGGGGGAACUUACCACCAUAAAGGGAAGGACACAGCCUGCUUGGCUUUGCCACCUGCUGGGGCCGAGCUCUCAGAGCACAUUCUUUGCUCUAGUUUGUAUCCCUUAGACCAGGGAUCCUCAACCUCCCUCGGGGACCGCACAGUAGGAGGUGAGCAGCGGGUAAGUGAGCAAAGCUUUCACGUACUUAUGGCCGCUCUCCAUCACUCACGGGACCACCCAAGCUCCACCAUCAGAUCAGCAGCAGCAUUAGAGUCUCAUAGGAGCAAGAACCCUGUUGUGAACUGCAGGUGCGAGGGAUCUAGGUUGCCAGCUCC